UACGUAGGGUGCGAGCGUUGUCCGGAAUUAUUGGGCGUAAAGAGCUCGUAGGCGGUCUGUCGCGUCGGUCGUGAAAACUUGGGGCUUAACCCUGAGCUUGCGGUCGAUACGGGCAUGACUGGAGUUCGGCAGGGGAGACUGGAAUUCCUGGUGUAGCGGUGAAAUGCGCAGAUAUCGGGAGGAACACCUGUGGCGAAAGCGGCGCACUGGACCACAACUGACGCUGAGGCGCGAAAGCUAGGGGAGCAAACAGG
rnacentral:rRNA from 1 species